rnacentral:rRNA from 1 species
GCUCAAAUUUAAAAUCUGGCAGCUUUGGCUGUCCGAGUUGUAGUCUGGAGAAGCGUUUUCUGUGCCGGACCGUGUACAAGUCUCUUGGAACAGAGCGUCAUAGAGGGUGAGAAUCCCGUCUUUGACACGGACUGCCGGUGCUUUGUGAUGCGCUCUCAAAGAGUCGAGUUGUUUGGGAAUGCAGCUCAAAAUGGGUGGUAAAUUCCAUCUAAAGCUAAAUAUUGGCGAGAGACCGAUAGCGAACAAGUACCGUGAGGGAAAGAUGAAAAGCACUUUGGAAAGAGAGUUAAACAGUACGUGAAAUUGCUGAAAGGGAAACGCUUGAAGUCAGUCGCGUCGUCCGGAACUCAGCCUGGCUUUUGCCUGGUGUAUUUUCUGGUUGACGGGCCAGCAUCAAUUUUGAUCGUUGGAUAAAGGCCUCAGGAAUGUGGCACCUUCGGGUGUGUUAUAGCCUGGGGUCGCAUACAACGGUUGGGAUUGAGGAUCUCAGCACGCCUUUAUGGUCGGGGUUCGCCCACGUACGUGCUUAGGAUGCUGGCGUAAUGGCUUUAAACGACCCGUCUUGAAACACGGACCAAGGAGUCUAACAUGCCUGCGAGUGUUUGGGUGGAAAACCCGAGCGCGUAAUGAAAGUGAAAGUUGGGAUCCCUGUCGCGGGGAGCACCGACGCCCGGACCAGACCUUCUGUGACGGAUCCGCGGUAGAGCAUGUAUGUUGGGACCCGAAAGAUGGUGAACUAUGCCUGAAUAGGGUGAAGCCAGAGGAAACUCUGGUGGAGGCUCGUAGCGAUUCUGACGUGCAAAUCGAUCGUCAAAUUUGGGUAUAGGGGCGAAAGACUAAUCGAACCAUC